rnacentral:rRNA from 1 species
CUGAACCAGCCUGCCGCGUGAAGGAUUAAGGUCCUCUGGAUUGUAAACUUCUUUUAUCUGGGACGAAAAAAGGCUUUUCUAAGUCACUUGACGGUACCAGAUGAAUAAGCACCGGCUAACUCCGUGCCAGCAGCCGCGGUAAUACGGAGGGUGCAAGCGUUAUCCGGAUUCACUGGGUUUAAAGGGUGCGUAGGCGGGCAGGUAAGUCAGUGGUGAAAUCCUGGAGCUUAACUCCAGAACUGCCAUUGAUACUAUCUGUCUUGAAUAUUGUGGAGGUAAGCGGAAUAUGUCAUGUAGCGGUGAAAUGCUUAGAUAUGACAUAGAACACCUAUUGCGAAGGCAGCUUACUACGCAUAUAUUGACGCUGAGGCACGAAAGCGUGGGGAUCAAACAGGAUUAGAUACCCUGGUAGUCCACGCCCUAAACGAUGGAUACUCGACAUACGCGAUACACUGUGUGUGUCUGAGCGAAAGCAUUAAGUAUCCCACCUGGGAAGUACGACCGCAAGGUUGAAACUCAAAGGAAUU